rnacentral:tRNA from 1 species
GUUCUUAUAGUUGAAUAACAACGGUGGUUCUUCAAAUCAUUGGCCUCGGUUAGAAUCCGAGUAGGAAUU